ensembl:lncRNA
CCCAGCCCCUUCCCAGUCCAUACUGGGAGCCCUUAUCCCUUCCCAGUACGGACUGGGACAGCCCUUACCCUUCCCCAGUCCACACUGGGAAGCCUCCAGCCCCUUCCCAGUUCAUACUGGGAGCCCUUAUCCCUUCCCAGUACAGACUGGAACCGCCCUAACCCUUCCCCAGUCCACACUGGGAGUCCCCCAGUUCAUACUGGGAGCUCCCAGCCCCUUCCCAGUCCAUACUGGGAGCCUCUAUCCCUUCCCAGUAUGGACUGGGACACCCACCUCCCUUCCCCAGUCCACACUUGCCCCCCCCAGCCCCUUCCCAGUCCAUACUGGGAGCCCUUAUCCCUUCCCAGUACAGACUGGGACCGCCCUUACCCUUCCCCAGUCCACACUGGGAAGCCCCCAGCCCCUUCCCAGUUCAUACUGGGAGCCCCCCAAACCGACACUGGUGGGCAUCAGGUUUAUUCGCAUCAUCGGCACCUCACAGACCCCCGGAUGCCUCCCAGUAUGGGGGGGGUACUGGGAGGGGAGCACCUCCCAGUAUGGGGGUGGUACUGGGAGGGGAGGCAAUAAAUAAGGAAGGGGGGGGUUGGGCCAGGAACUGGUUUGUAGUGGUCCAUACUGGGAGAAACCGUAUGUGCAUUGAAACGCCAGUCAGGGUGCCCUACCAGUCCGUACUGGUCCACACUGGUCCAUACUGAGAGGACACAAGGCCACGGCGGGUGAAGAUAUCCCGGGCAAGACGGCUGUAACUGGUCCAUACUGGUUCCAUACUGGGAGGAGGCAAGGCCACGGCGGGUGAAGAGAUCCCGGUCGAGAUGCUGGAACUGGUCCAUACUGGUCCAUACUGGGAGGAGGCAAGGCCACGGCGGGUGAAGAGAUCCCAGGCGAGAUGCUUGAACUGGUCCAUACUGGGAAGACGCAAGGCCACGGGGGUGAAGAGCUCCCAGUUGGGCCGCCGUACUGGUCCAUACUGGUCCGUACUGGGACGGCCGAAGGCCGUGUCAAGGCAGUGGUCCCAGUUGGGACGCCGUACUGGUUUGUACUGGUCCAACCCAAGGCGAUGCACACGUGGGGCUCCCAGUUGGGCCUCCGGACUUUUUACUGGUCCAUACUGGUCUGGCCUGAGGCGACGUAGAUCCAAGGAGUUCCCAGCUGGGUCGUUGGUAAUGGUUCAUACUGGUCUAUACUGGGAUGCCCCCAAGGUGGGGGCGUUCCCCAGCACUGGGCUGUACUGGUCCAAACUGGGGCGUCUCCAGACCCAACGGUGGGGAUCUAUGGGGUUCUGUGGGGCCCAAGGGGUCCCCGAGGAGAUCUAUGGGUCCCUGAGGACAUCUAUGGGGUGUCCAAAGAGAUCUAUGGGUCCCUGAGGACAUCUAUGGGGUCCUCAAAGAGAUCUAUGGGUCCCUGAGGAUGUCUAUGGGUCCCCAAAGAGGACCUACAGCUCCCCAUGGUGGCCUACAGGCCCCACACGUUGGCCUACGGGGUCCCCACGGUGGCUUAGGGGUCCCCAAAGAAGACUUAUGGGUCCCUGAGGACAUCUAUGGGGUCCCCAAAGAAGACUUAUGGGUCCCUGAGGACAUCUGCGGGGUCCCCAAAGAGGUCCUACAGCUCCCCAUGAGAUGUUUAUGGGGUCUCCACAGCCCCACACGUCCCCACGUUGACCUAGGGCUCCCCAUGUUGACUUAGGGGUCUCCAAAGAGGACCUAUGGGUCCCCAAGGACGUCUAUGGGUCCCCAAAGAGGUCCUACAGGUCCCCAGGAGAUGUCUACGAGGUCCUCACAUUGCCCCACACAUCUCCAUGUUGACUUAGGGGUCCCCAAAGAGGACCUAUGGGUCCCCAGGAGAUGUUUAUGGGGUCUCCACAGCCCCACACGUCCCCACGUUGACCUAGGGCUCCCCAUGUUGACUUAGGGGUCUCCAAAGAGGACCUAUGGGUCCCCAAGGACGUCUAUGGGUCCCCAAAGAGGUCCUACAGGUCCCCAGGAGAUGUCUACGAGGUCCUCACAUUGCCCCACGCAUCUCCAUGUUGACUUAGGGGUCCCCAAAGAGGACCUACGGGUCCCCAGGAGAUGUUUAUGGGGUCCCCACAGCCCCACACGUCCCCAUGUUGACCUAGGGCUCCCGAUGGUGGCCUAGAGGUCCCCAGAGAUGUCUACAAGGUCCUCACAUUGCCCCACACAUCUCCAUGUUGACUUAGGGGUCCCCAAAGAGGACUUAUGGGUCCCCAAGGACGUCUAGGGGUCCCCAAAGAGGUCCUACAGCUCCCCACGAGAUGUCUAUGGGGUCCCCACAGCCCCACACGUCCCCAUGUUGACCUAGGGCUCCCCAUGGUGGCCUAGAGGUCCCCAGAGAUGUCUACAAGGUCCU